UACGAAGGGGGCUAGCGUUGCUCGGAAUCACUGGGCGUAAAGGGUGCGUAGGCGGUUCUUUAAGUCAGGGGUGAAAUCCUGGAGCUCAACUCCAGAACUGCCUUUGAUACUGAGGAUCUUGAGUUCGGGGGAGGUGAGUGGAACUGCGAGUGUAGAGGUGAAAUUCGUAGAUAUUCGCAAGAACACCAGUGGCGAAGGCGGCUCACUGGCCCGAUACUGACGCUGAGGCACGAAAGCGUGGGGAGCAAACAGG
rnacentral:rRNA from 1 species